GAAGGCAGGUCGGAUAACUGGGGUGAAGUCGUAACAAGGUAGCCGUAGGAGAACCUGCGGCUGGAUCACCUCCUUU
rnacentral:rRNA from 1 species